CACCAGCAUAAGACUGAGUGCUCUUAAGAGAAGGUUUAAAAAACAUUGAUGAUUCUGAUCUCGGAAGCUAAGCAGAGUUGAGCCUGGUUAGUAUUUGGAUGGGAGACCACCUAGGAAGACCAGGUGCUGUAGGUGU
rnacentral:rRNA from 1 species